rnacentral:rRNA from 1 species
GUCUGUGNGAACGAGCGCGCGNGACGGGUGAGUAACACGUGGGCAACCUGCCUGUAAGACUGGGAUAACUCCGGGAAACCGGGGCUAAUACCGGAUAACUCAACGAACCGCAUGGUUCGGUGUUAAAAGAUGGCUUCUGCUAUCACUUACAGAUGGGCCCGCGGCGCAUUAGCUAGUUGGUGAGGUAACGGCUCACCAAGGCAACGAUGCGUAGCCGACCUGAGAGGGUGAUCGGCCACACUGGGACUGAGACACGGCCCAGACUCCUACGGGAGGCAGCAGUAGGGAAUCAUCCGCAAUGGACGAAAGUCUGACGGUGCAACGCCGCGUGAGUGAUGAAGGUCUUCGGAUCGUAAAACUCUGUUGUUAGGGAAGAACACGUGCUGUUCGAAUAGGGCAGUGCCUUGACGGUACCUAACCAGAAAGCCACGGCUAACUACGUGCCAGCAGCCGCGGUAAUACGUAGGUGGCAAGCGUUGUCCGGAAUUAUUGGGCGUAAAGCGCGCGCAGGCGGUUUCUUAAGUCUGAUGUGAAAGCCCACAGCUCAACUGUGGAGGGUCAUUGGAAACUGGGGAACUUGAGUACAGAAGAGGAGAGCGGAAUUCCACGUGUAGCGGUGAAAUGCGUAGAUAUGUGGAGGAACACCAGUGGCGAAGGCGGCUCUCUGGUCUGUGACUGACGCUGAGGCGCGAAAGCAUGGGUAGCGAACAGGAUUAGAUACCCUGGUAGUCCAUGCCGUAAACGAUGAGUGCUAGGUGUUAGGGGGUCCAACCCUUAGUGCUGCAGUUAACGCAAUAAGCACUCCGCCUGGGGAGUACGGCCGCAAGGCUGAAACUCAAAGGAAUUGACGGGGGCCCGCACAAGCGGUGGAGCAUGUGGUUUAAUUCGACGCAACGCGAAGAACCUUACCAGGUCUUGACAUCUUCGGACCGCCCUAGAGAUAGGGUCUUCCCUUCGGGGACCGAAUGACAGGUGGUGCAUGGUUGUCGUCAGCUCGUGUCGUGAGAUGUUGGGUUAAGUCCCGCAACGAGCGCAACCCUUAACCUUAGUUGCCAGCAUUCAGUUGGGCACUCUAAGGUGACUGCCGGUGACAAACCGGAGGAAGGUGGGGAUGACGUCAAAUCAUCAUGCCCCUUAUGACCUGGGCUACACACGUGC